CAAAAUCAAGAGUCGGAUGCUUAAUCAACUGAGCCACCCAGCAGACCAGCUUGGCUCCACAAUGUCAAAGAGCAGAUGUGUCUUCCUGGGAGCCUGAGAAGAGCUGGAGCUGGAAGGAAGCAGAGCCGGGCUGACCACGUCAGGUCCCCUGCUUCAAGGGCCCCUGCCUCCCGCAAGGUGCACCGCUGCGGCCCUCUGUAUUCAGAUUAAAGGGGACCACGCAAACCAUCUCUCCUGAACAUCUAGUCUUGUGCUGUGAUGUCCAUGUCCUGACAAAUCGUGGUUCCUGCCUACUGAGUUUCCUGACACAGCAGUGUUAUGCUUUUCUGAAGAUGGGGAUUUUCAUCCAAACCCUCUUUUAGGACUGCCUUCACACCUUCACACCUGAAUGUAUUCUUCGUUCUUCUGGAAUGUUUAUAGGGCUGCUCUGGCUCUCGCCACUUGCGACUGGAUUUUGGUGCGACUUCUAGAAUCUGAGCAUGGACCAGCAGCUACAGAAUUCAGGGACUGAGCAGAGAGGAGAAAUGAGGAGAGAGUCUGGGAGUGAAAUUGUGUGCGACAGGCUGUCUGCUCACAGUGAUGUCCGACAUAGAAUAUUUUCACGCCAGUGGAACCACUGUGAACAUCUCAGCCAAAAUGUAUUCCCCAACAUUGACUGCUCCUGGUGAGUUAGUGAGUGAGUGAUGAAUGAAUGAGGUGGAUUUGGCUGACAUUAGCCCAAGCAGUUGUACCGGAGCUUUCUGUUAAACACUGGGCUAUAGUGUCUAAAAGGGGGGCCUGUGGUAUCAUAGGUCUCUGGAUUCAAAUCCCAGUUUACCAUUUGUUAGUACAUGAUCCUGGAGAUUAUGUAAUAUUUCUAUGCCUCAGGGUCCUCAUCUGUCAAGUGGGGGGAUAUGAUAGUUGCUUUCUUACCAGUUAUGAUUUAUUUUAUGUGAACUACUUUGCAUGAGCCAUGUCAUGAUGUGCUGCGGCCGGUUUGUACUGGCUCACAAGGACUGAUAAUGUAUACCUUUUCUGAUUCUCCGAAUCCUCCCAUCCCCACAUCCAGUAACAUCUUACUAGUAGCUUGAAAUUAAUUGGUCCUGUGAGAGUAUAUACACCGUGGCAAUUGUCAAACAGUACACAUCAGGGGCUGGGUUGCCCAUAUGCCAUAAAUUCUGUAUAAAUGUUAACAUCAUUAUGAUUCUUAGUAGGCACUCUUUACUCCCUUGUGGUUUUGAGAAAGCAUUCUGCUAAUUAAAUAAAUUCUGAGUUGAAAUACCA